rnacentral:rRNA from 1 species
AUUGAACGCUGGCGGCAGGCCUAACACAUGCAAGUCGAACGGUAACAGGAAGCAGCUUGCUGCUUCGCUGACGAGUGGCGGACGGGUGAGUAAUGUCUGGGAAACUGCCUGAUGGAGGGGGAUAACUACUGGAAACGGUAGCUAAUACCGCAUAAUGUCGCAAGACCAAAGAGAGGGACCUUCGGGCCUCUUGCCAUCGGAUGUGCCCAGAUGGGAUUAGCUUGUUGGUGGGGUAACGGCUCACCAAGGCGACGAUCCCUAGCUGGUCUGAGAGGAUGACCAGCCACACUGGAACCGAGACACGGUCCAGACUCCUACGGGAGGCAGCAGUGGGGAAUAUUGCACAAUGGGCGCAAGCCUGAUGCAGCCAUGCCGCGUGUAUGAAGAAGGCCUUCGGGUUGUAAAGUACUUUCAGCGGGGAGGAAGGGAGUAAAGUUAAUACCUUUGCUCAUUGACGUUACCCGCAGAAGAAGCACCGGCUAACUCCGUGCCAGCCGCCGCCGUAA